rnacentral:rRNA from 1 species
UACGUAGGGCGCAAGCGUUGUCCGGAAUUAUUGGGCGUAAAGAGCUCGUAGGCGGUCUGUUACGUCUGCUGUGAAAACCCAGGGCUUAACCCUGGGCUUGCAGUGGAUACGGGCAGACUAGAGGCAGGUAGGGGAGAAUGGAAUUCCCGGUGUAGCGGUGAAAUGCGCAGAUAUCGGGAGGAACACCGGUGGCGAAGGCGGCGAUCUGGGAAGAUACUGACGCUGAGGUGCGAAAGCGUGGGGAGCAAACAGG